UGGUGGAGUGAUUUGUCUGGUUAAUUCCGUUAACGAACGAGACCGCCGCCUGCUAAAUAGCUAGGAGAAUGGUUUUUCAUUGUCUAGAGCUUCUUAGAGGGACAUCUGUACUACAAGUCAGAGGAAGAUGGCGGCAAUAACA
rnacentral:rRNA from 1 species